AAUGAAACUCGGGGCCCAGGCAAGACUGGCAGCAAGUGUUGGGCAGAUCUCGGACGGAGAGGUACUCCAGGUUGCAGCACUCAGAGGAGUGUGCGGUCGUGUAUGAACUGUGGGUGACAUCUUUUACUGGCAACGUGCAACAAGUUUUCGUUCAUAUUAUUCCAAGGAGAUUCUUAAUAUAGGGGAGAGGAAGACUCGAUUGUCAUUGCUGUACGAGUACUCAGGCAUAAUCCACACUGCCAAGUGCCUUAAUUUAUACCUAAUUGAACGUUUUAAUAUCAGAAUGAAUCCCAAAACAUUGGAUCCUACUGGCCUCUACUAGUCCACGAGGUGUUCCUAGUUACCACAAGCAGAAGAGGCUUCAAGACUAAGCAUCAAGCUGACAAACUUUGGCUGUGUCACCAGAAGAGAAGCCGACACCAUAACCAUGGACGAUCCAACACAUCUUGACCCCACUGGGCUGUACUGAGGAAGGGCAGGAUUGACAACAUCAGGAGGCAACAAUGAACAUGUUUACCGAGCUGCAUCAUGUAACCACAUUUUUGAACUGAAGGGACGGACCAUUUUCUUCCGGAAAAUGAUAGGGGUUAACAAGAAAUCCACACACAACAUACGAAGGAAGAAGAAGAAGAAGAAAAAGGAAGUAGGGACAUGUGACGAACGUGCGUAUCUGAUGAAAGCCAGGGCGAAGGGAGCUGGGGGGGCGAGAGACGGCAGUGAUCAGCUGUUUCUGCUAGCUCCUGGUCGCCCGACCCAGAGGAAGACUGCCAAUGACUACAUCAGGGUUGUGCGACCACGUGUCCCGGCUUUUGAUUCGAGUCGCCAUUCGACUCCGUGAUAAACCGCAGUUUGACCAAAAAACUCCAGUUUUGCCGCCCUAGCUUCAGUACUGUCAUCUUUGUGGGAUAUGAUGGAAGGGGCAACGGCAGGAUAACAAGUUCAUAAUUGCUGACUUCUCUGCGAAAGUGUUUGAACUAUGAAUUCUUUAUUUGUUAUCAAUAUUAAGCCACGUGAUUCUACUUUGUUAAAACUUGUAGGAGGAGGAGGAGGAGAACAGGAAAAAAAAGAAAGAAAGAAGAGGAAGAGUGCGAGGACGAGGAGGAGAAGAAGAAGAAGAAGAAUUUUCUCACGGGCAUACGUGGUUGUUCACUACCGGGUUAAAUCUCUGUAAUAGACACAAACUUCUUCUUUACUGACGCUACAAAUCUAUACGGAUUUUGACUCCCUCCAUGCUUCCUUGAGAUUUCGUAACAGUAAUUUUUUACGAGGACGUUUCGGAGACUCCGUAUCCAUCACAUGAGCCGCAUGUGGUGGACACUGACACAGUUUCCGAAACAUUUAUCUUUAGUUUCCCCGUUGUGUUGAUUUCAAAUGGAAAUACUUAUACAUCAGUUCUUUUAGUUUCUUGGGGUUGGGGUGAGACUGAAUCCACUUGGUACGUCAGCCAAUAAUUGGUUUAUUGUAUUAGGCUCCGAUAAGAGAUGAGUAUGGAGCAUUUGUUGGAAUGAGAAUU